AGAGUUUGAUCCUGGCUCAGGACGAACGCUGGCGGCGUGCCUAACACAUGCAAGUCGAACGGAGCAAAGCCCUUCGGGACUUUGCUUAGUGGCGAACGGGUGAGUAACGCGUGAGGAACCUGCCUUCCAGUGGGGGACAACAGUUGGAAACGACUGCUAAUACCGCAUGAUGCUUUUGAGAGACAUCUCUUAAAAGCCAAAGCUUUAUGUGCUGGAAGAUGGCCUCGCGUCUGAUUAGCUAGUUGGUGAGGUAACGGCUCACCAAGGCGACGAUCAGUAGCCGGUCUGAGAGGAUGAACGGCCACAUUGGGACUGAGAUACGGCCCAGACCCCUACGGGAGGCAGCAGUGGGGAAUAUUGGGCAAUGGGCGAAAGCCUGACCCAGCAACGCCGCGUGAAGGAAGAAGGCCUUCGGGUUGUAAACUUCUUUUACCAGGGACGAAGGAUGUGACGGAACCUGGAGAAAAAGCAACGGCUAACUACGUGCCAGCAGCCGCGGUAAUACGUAGGUUGCAAGCGUUGUCCGGAUUUACUGGGUGUAAAGGGCGUGUAGGCGGAGAUGCAAGUUAGGAGUGAAAUCUAUGGGCUCAACCCAUAAACUGCUUCUAAAACUGUAUCCCUUGAGUAUCGGAGAGGCAAGCGGAAUUCCUAGUGUAGCGGUGAAAUGCGUAGAUAUUAGAAGGAACACCAGUGGCGAAAGCGGUUUGCUGGGCCGUUACUGACGCUGAGGCACGAAAGCGUGGGGAGUAAAUAGGAUUAGAUACCCUAGUAGUCCACGCCGUAAACGAUGAGUACUAAGUGUUGGGGUUACCCAGUGCUGAAGCUAACGUAUUAAGUACUCCGCCUGAGUAGUACGGUCGCAAGGCUGAAACUCAAAGGAAUUGACGGGCACCCGCACAAGCGGUGGAGCAUGCUGUUUAAUUCGAAGAUACGCGAAGAACCUUACCUAGACUUGACAUCCCUGGCAAAGCUAUAGAAAUAUAGUGGAGGUUACCCAGGUGACAGGUGGUGCAUGGUUGUCGUCAGCUCGUGUCGUGAGAUGUUCGGUUAAGUCCGCUAACGAGCGCAACCCUUAUCCUUAGUUGCUAACAUUAAGUUGAGAACCCUAAGGAGACUGCCGGUGACAAACCGGAGGAAGGUGGGGAUGACGUCAAAUCAUCAUGCCCCUUACGUCUAGGGCUACAGGCGUGCUAUAAUGGCCGAUACAAUAAGACGCAAUACCGUGAGGUGGAGCAAAUCUGUAAAGUCGGUCUCAGUUCGGAUUGAAGUCUGCAACUCGACUUCAUGAAGCUAGAAUCGCUAGUAAUCCCAAAUCAGAAUGUUGGGGUGAAUACGUUCCCGGGUGUUGCACUCACCGCCCGUCA
rnacentral:rRNA from 1 species